rnacentral:rRNA from 1 species
UACAGAGGUCCCAACCGUUGUUCGGAUUCAUUGGGCGUAAAGGGUGCGUAGGCGGCGGGGGCAAGUCAGGUGUGAAAUCUCGGGGGCUCAACCCCGAAACUGCACUUGAUACUGCCUUGCUCGAGUACUGGAGAGGAGACUGGAAUUUACGGUGUAGCAGUGAAAUGCGUAGAUAUCGGGAGGAACACCAGUGGCGAAGGCGACUCGCUGGACAGGUAUUGACGCUGAGGUGCGAAAGCGUGGGAGCAAACAGG